UUGACUUGAUUUUCGCAUUUUAAUGAAAACACGAUUCAUAAAUAUACCAAACAUCAAGGGAAAAACAUGUAAUCCAAUGGAAGGCACUACCUAUAUUCACAAUUUGCAGUUAAAUCAGACAAAGUGAAUGGAAAUGAAGUAUAGAUAUAUGCUCCACAAUGCAUUAAAGUGAUACUAUAGCAUUGCUUUGUACAAAAUGUGCUUAUAAUGCAUGCAUUGCAAAUAGCAGCUAGCGGGUGUUUGACAUGAGAAAUUUAUGGGUGCCAUAUAUGGGAAUAACCAUCAGGUACCUGUCGCAUAUUACAAAAGAAAAUUUCAUGGGGAGGAAAAGGAGGAUAGAAAUUUCUCAAGUUUCAAACAACUGACAAUUGAGAUCUAUUUCUUUUGGCAAUUAAAUUCUAUACAUUUGACCAACCAUCUAUUGCAUGUCUAUUUCUGCAUUGAAUUGGAAAAGUGACAUGUUUGGUUCUCAAGUUUUAAUACAUUUUGGUAACCAAACAUAUCAUGCAAUAAAAUCUUGAAUUCCAUCUACCUUGGACUAAGCUGGAAUCCAUGAGGUAAAACAGGUCCGUACCAACAAAAAUCCAUAUAAAUCUAAUAAACAAAACACAAGGAACAAAAGCCUAGAUUUCGAUUUCGUUUGAUAUACCUAGAAUAUACAAACCAAAUACGCUCCAAGGAUAUGUUUUAUUCACGGAUUCGGGCGAAAUCCAAUGACACUGGAAUGUGAGAUUCCAUUUCAUGACAUGUUUGGUCGCCCAAUUGAUGCAAUUUAAUUGAGUCCAUUCCAACGACAUCCGCCAAAAUCCAUAUAUGAUGGAUUUCAUCAUUUCUAGGAAUGGAAGAUGGAAUUAAAUUCCUUUCUCCCAUAUCAAACUAUCCAUACAAACCCUAUACUUAUUAAAGGGUAUUUUGGUCAUUUAACAAAUUAUUCUGCCCAUUUAUAUAUUCCGAAACAUAUCAACUUAUAAACAUAUAAAGAAGACUCUAUACAAACUAUAACCAAUCGUAAUUAUUGUUAAGAUAUUCAACAACAGGUGAUUUAUCUCUGGUUAAUAGCUCUUUAAAUGUUUCUAUUGCAUCUGAUUCUAUGUCAAAUUCGGAUCAUGAUGGUAGUCGAACAACAUUUUCAUAUGAUCUGAUUCGAAUAUAUAUAUAUAUAUANNNNNNNNNNNNNNNNNCGAAAGUAAGCAAUCUAUACAUGUCAUAUUCAAAAGAGAAUAUUAAUCAAUUAAUAAUCAAACUAUAGAAAAUAAAAUGCAUUCUCACUUUGCAGCAACCUGAUGCCUCUCUCAAAAUAUCACAAAAGGAAAUAGUAGUCGGUAGAUCGGCGUAGUUGAAUAUGUAACAAUUUAUAAUGGUGUGUUAUUAUACCAUAAUGUAUGAAAUGAACCUUUCUGUUCCUUCCCAGAUUCUAUGAAUCAAAAGUAUCAUGUACUUACAGAAUAAAACCUCAUCAUCCUCUCCUUUUAUCGACAAGCUUUCUCCAUCCAGUUGAUCUCCUUUACCAAGAGAUCCCUCCAUAUUUCGUCUUCAUUAGACUUGACAUCCUGUAAAAAGACAUGCAAUAUCAGAUACAUAGUAGAAAACAAACUAACAGCACAAAUGAUGUUAUAUAAAUCAACAUUAUAUCAACUAAGGACAAUUAUAUCAAUAAAAACAAUUUUAGAAAAUAGUUUCAACCUUGAGAGAAGUAAACUGAGACCCAAUUGGGUGGAGACUUAAUGGGAACAAUAAAGAAUUCCUCGAGGUAAAUAAGAUGAUCAGUUUAGGAGUAAUGGCAAUAAAAGUUAUUAUUUUGGAGAACCUAUUCAAGACAUUGUAGUAUACUGGAACAAUAUGAGCGAAAUUUUUUUAGAGGAUUCAAAAGCUAAUUUAGAAUAUAUCAACAACGAAACAUAUGAAUCAUAAAAUAGAAUAAUUCCUAAAUCCGAAGAAAAAGUACACCUGCAAACAUUUGAAGGGAUUAUAAUUCUUUCUAACCUUCUAUAUUAUUGAUCUUCUAUUUCAUCAAUGUUUCUAACCUUCUCUAACAGUAUGGGUAAUAGAGUCUGACCAACUUCUAUUCACAUAAUCGCGUUUAUGGUUCUAUAAAAGAAUAUAAUUUUUUCAAUUUUGCUAAAGUACAAAACAAAUCCACAACUUAGGAAAACCCAAAUAGCAUCCACUUUGAAAGACUACAUAUGAAUCAACUUUGUUAAGGUUUAAGGAGGGAAAAAUCGACCACCUUUCGCAGCCUUCUAUAUCCAGUAAUGGUGGUGGCUAGAAGGUAUCUUCCCUACGACGUGUUUUCCAUCGAUUCAAUACAAAAGGAGACGAGAUUGAAAACCAUUCUAACAAACAUAGCUUUUGAUUUAGUUCAGGAAUACAAAGUAAAAAUCAUUAAUCAUAAUACUUACUCAAACUCUAGCAGUCGGAUCUUGACACCAACAAUUGAGGUAAUACCAAAAUCGGAAAACCCAAAUCCAAAAGAAAACCCGGUCGAAGUGUUGCACCACUAGAAAGCCCCAUCCCCAUCCUAGGAAUUACCGGCAUUGAAUGUAUCCGACAUCGAAGCAGGACUCGUCGGUUGUGGAUGUCGCCGUAGUCGAAGUAGAGUUGCAUGAAAUUAGGGCUCGCCGACUUCUGCAGUGGUGGAGGUAGACUCAUCGGAGUGUUCUGUGGUGGAGGCGGACUCGUCCGCGUCGGCUAUGGCGGAAUCGAAGAAGCAAACUGAGCGAUCGAUCGACUGCACUCUACGGUGGUAUCAUAGAAGAACUCCCAUAAGUUCGAUUUGUGGCCUCUUUGUGUUGAUUUCUUUCAAAAGAGAGGAGAAGGUUUGGAGAAGCGUAAGAAGUGGUGGAAGGAAGAAACUUGAUUGCCGGCAUUCCAAGCGGUUGAAAGUUUUGUGGAUUGAGAAGAAGCGGUGGAUGAGAGGUUAAAGUAACUCAGGUGGAGGGGAGUAACUAGAUGAACAGUAUCUGUGGUCAGGUACGGUUCAAAAG
rnacentral:lncRNA from 1 species